rnacentral:rRNA from 1 species
CUUGGUCAUUUAGAGGAAGUAAAAGUCGUAACAAGGUUUCCGUAGGUGAACCUGCGGAAGGAUCAUUAUUGAAAAAGACUAUGAAGUCCCGUUUUUUCAUAAAAUGGGUUCAAUACCCACAACCGUGUAUACCUUACCUUUGUUGCUUUGGCAGGCCGCCUCCGGGCGUCGGCUUCGGCUGACAGCGCCUGCCAGAGGACCCAAACUCUGUGUUUAGUGAUGUCUGAGUAAUAUAUAAUAUUUAAAACUUUCAACAACGGAUCUCUUGGUUCUGGCAUCGAUGAAGAACGCAGCGAAAUGCGAUAAGUAAUGUGAAUUGCAGAAUUCAGUGAAUCAUCGAAUCUUUGAACGCACAUUGCGCCCCUUGGUAUUCCGAGGGGCAUGCCUGUUCGAGCGUCAUUAUGACCACUCAAGCCUAGCUUGGUAUUGGGGUUCGCGUGCUCGCAGCCCUUAAAAUCAGUGGCGGUGCCGCCUGGCUCUAAGCGUAGUAAUGCUCUCGCUAUUGAGUUCCCGGGCGGUUGCUUGCCAAAAUCCCCCCACUUUCUUAGGUUGACCUCGGAUCAGGUAGGGAUACCCGCUGAACUUAAGCAUAUCAAUAAGCGGAGGA